rnacentral:rRNA from 1 species
UACGUAGGUGGCAAGCGUUGUCCGGAUUUACUGGGCGUAAAGAGCGCGCAGGCGGUCGUUCAAGUCGCGUGUGAAAGCCCCCCGGCUCAACUGGGGAGGGUCACGCGAUACUGAUCGACUCGAAGGCAGGAGAGGGUAGUGGAAUUCCCGGUGUAGUGGUGAAAUGCGUAGAUAUUGGGAGGAACACCAGUGGCGAAGGCGAGUCCCUGGACACUUCCUGACACUGAGGCACGAAAGCUAGGGGAGCAAACAGG